AGUCGAGGGGCAGCAUGGGAGUAGCAAUACUUCUGAUGGCGACCGGCGCACGGGUGCGUAACGCGUAUGCAACCUACCUGUAACAGGGGGAUAACACUGAGAAAUCGGUACUAAUACCGCAUAACACUGUGAGAGGCAUCUCUUGUGGUUGAAAGUUUCGGCGGUUACAGAUGGGCAUGCGUUGUAUUAGCUGGUUGGUAAGGUAACGGCUUACCAAGGCGACGAUACAUAGGGGGACUGAGAGGUUAACCCCCCACAUUGGUACUGAGACACGGACCAAACUCCUACGGGAGGCAGCAGUGAGGAAUAUUGGUCAAUGGACGGAAGUCUGAACCAGCCAUGCCGCGUGCAGGAAGACGGCUCUAUGAGUUGUAAACUGCUUUUGUACAAGGGUAAACCUGAAUACGUGUAUUCAGCUGAAAGUACUGUACGAAUAAGGAUCGGCUAACUCCGUGCCAGCAGCCGCGGUAAUACGGAGGAUCCAAGCGUUAUCCGGAUUUAUUGGGUUUAAAGGGUGCGUAGGCGGAUUGAUAAGUUAGAGGUGAAAUGUCCGAGCUCAACUCGGGAACUGCCUCUAAUACUGUUGAUCUAGAGAGUAGAUGCGGUAGGCGGAAUGUAUGGUGUAGCGGUGAAAUGCUUAGAGAUCAUACAGAACACCGAUUGCGAAGGCAGCUUACCAAUCUAUAUCUGACGUUGAGGCACGAAAGCGUGGGGAGCAAACAGGAUUAGAUACCCUGGUAGUCCACGCAGUAAACGAUGAUAGCUCGUUGUCGGCGAUACACAGUCGGUGACUAAGAGAAAUCGAUAAGCUAUCCACCUGGGGGAGUACGUUCGCAAGAAUGAAACUCAAAGGAAUUGACGGGGGCCCGCACAAGCGGAGGAACAUGUGGUUUAAUUCGAUGAUACGCGAGGAACCUUACCCGGGCUUGAAAGUUAGUGACUGAUCUGGAAACAGGUCUUCCCUUCGGGGCACGAAACUAGGUGCUGCAUGGUUGUCGUC
rnacentral:rRNA from 1 species